rnacentral:rRNA from 15 species
UUGACCUCGGAUCAGGUAGGGAUACCCGCUGAACUUAAGCAUAUCAAUAAGCGGAGGAAAAGAAACCAACAGGGAUUACCUC